ACAGAUACAAAAAUAAAAUAAAACUCCUUUUAUUUCAAUGUGUAAGGAAGUGGGAUGAAGAGUCCUAGAGAUCAUGGACUCUUGAUGUGUUGUUGCCCCUACUCAAAAAUUCAUUCCAAAAUAUGCCCAAAAAAUAUGGGAUGCCCCUUCCCAUUUUUUUUCAUGGUAAAUUAGUUUUCCAAUUAAUUUUUUACAAAAAAUCUCCUCAAAAUAUCACACACAUAAGAAAAAAAAAUAAGUUGGCGGC
rnacentral:lncRNA from 1 species